CCUACGGGUGGCAGCAGUGGGGAAUAUUGCACAAUGGGGGAAACCCUGAUGCAGCGACGCCGCGUGAGUGAAGAAGUAUUUCGGUAUGUAAAGCUCUAUCAGCAGGGAAGAAAAUGACGGUACGUGACUAAGAAGCCCCGGCCAACUACGUGCCAGCAGCGGCGGUAAUACGUAGGGGGCACGCGUUAUCCGGAUUUACGGGGUGUAAAGGGAGCGUAGGCGGCAGCGCAAGUCUGAAGUGAAAUGCCGGGGCUUAACCCCGGAACUGCUUUGGAAACUGUGCCGCUAGAGUGAAGGAGAGGUAAGUGGAAUUCGUAGUGUAGCGGUGAAAUGCGUAGAUAUUAGGAGGAACACCAGUGGCGAAGGCGGCUUACUGGACUGUAACUGACGUUGAGGCUCGAAAGCGUGGGGAGCAAACAGGAUUAGAUACCCCAGUAGUC
rnacentral:rRNA from 1 species